rnacentral:rRNA from 1 species
GCCCACUCCCGGCAAGGGAGUCGUUGUUCCCGGCAAGCGUCGCACCCCGGCAAGGCACCAAACCACCUCACCCUCUCCCACCACCUGAAGCCGUAGCCACAAGAUCCCCUCGCUAACCCUGGUCGCAGGUGCGAAGAGAAAGGGGCGAGGAGAAUCUCUUGGACCAACGCUAACCCUGGUCGCAGGUUUCUGAACUGCCAAAAAUCUCGUGACGGAGGUUGCAAGUGGUUUGAGUGGUUUGAUGACCCUACUACACCAUUCCUUCGCCAACUUUUGGUCGAUUUGCGUGACACGGUGCACAACCUGCGGAGGGAGAACGCUCGGCUCAAUUGAAUCAACGCGGACCUUGAAAUGGGGAUUGAGGAACGAAGCUCCACUAAUAUUUCUUUGCGGGAUGCAUUGCGCAAGACGAAGGAACGAAAUAAGGCUCUCGAAGAAAAGUUGGGUCAGACUGAAGCCCUUCUCAAGGAAAAGGCAAAUGGACAGCAGAAGCGGAUGCUUUUUAGUGUGAUUUUGUUAGUGUUCCUCCUGUUUCUAGCUAGCAAGCUUGCAGCUUAG